GGGUUGUGAGGUUAAGCGACUAAGCGUACACGGUGGAUGCCCUGGCAGUCAGAGGCGAUGAAGGACGUGCUAAUCUGCGAUAAGCGUCGGUAAGGUGAUAUGAACCGUUAUAACCGGCGAUUUCCGAAUGGGGAAACCCAGUGUGAUUCGUCACACUAUCAUUAACUGAAUCCAUAGGUUAAUGAGGCGAACCGGGGGAACUGAAACAUCUAAGUACCCCGAGGAAAAGAAAUCAACCGAGAUUCCCCCAGUAGCGGCGAGCGAACGGGGAGCAGCCCAGAGCCUGAAUCAGUGUGUGUGUUAGUGGAAGCGUCUGGAAAGGCGCGCGAUACAGGGUGACAGCCCCGUACACAAAAAUGCACAUACUGUGAGCUCGA
rnacentral:rRNA from 1 species